CUUUUUACUACCAUGUCUCAACUUCAAUCUUCCAAAUUGAUUUUCCUUUGGUCUUUGUAGCUGAAUCUGUGCCUAUUCUUUGCAUAUGUAACAUGUUUUUAUGUUAAAUUACUCUCCAAAUGCUGUUGUAAAUUAGCUUUGGUCUUGAUAUUUAACUGCAAGAACUUAGAACUGUGAACUCAGUUAAAUUGCCUACUCCAUACCUUUGUUUUUUGCCCUCUAAGUGAAUGUAUAUUUCAGUAUCUUUGUCAGUUCUGAAAUCUCCAGGAGCUGAAGCUCAAGUAAAUGAGCUUAGAAAAGUAUCAAUAAAGCUAAGCAAAGCAUUGAACUUGGAAGGGAUCAGAUCAAUGGUGGAAAGAUUGACACAAAAGAACAACAUUCCACAGGUUGCCAAAGAUGUAGAAUCAACAGCUAACCAGUCAAUGCAAGAGAUGAGAGAAACUGAGGGAACUGCUGGCAGAAUAGAGACUCUACAUGGUUCUGAGUUGCCAAAUGGAAAUGCCUCUAUGACUGUAAGAGACUGGCGCCAGCGCAAUUGAAGCGGGGCGAGGUGAUAUCGCUGCUGUGCAGCAGCCUGGCAGGCGGUGGGACCGCGGGAGUGGAGUUCAAGACCACAAGCGCGGCUUUGGAAGCGGUGCUUGUCGAGCGACUACGAUCACAGCUGAUGUCAAGAUGCUAACUUGAGCUUCUCCCAACGCCCGCCUUCUUCAAAAGAGAUACUAGAAAGGGCACGUGCUCCAGCCAGUUGCAGUUCCACAUGCGGGCCACGUCCACCGCCAGCCACCCGUUGCAGUUGGCGGCCAUCUUGUCGGCGCCCCUGGACACGAGGAUCUGGCAGCACUUGACCUCACCGCCGGAGGCCGCGUAGUGCAGCGGC